AGAGUUUGAUCCUGGCUCAGAACGAACGCUGGCGGCGUGGAUAAGACAUGCAAGUCGAACGGAGUUGUUUGUGUAGCAAUACAUCGACAACCUAGUGGCGAACGGGUGCGUAACACGUGAGCAAUCUGCCGGGAAGUGGGGGAUAGCUCGCCGAAAGGCGAAUUAAUACCGCAUGUGGCCAGAGGGGACAUCCCUUCGACGCCAAAGUCGCAAGACGCUUCCUGGUGAACUCGCGGCCUAUCAGCUUGUUGGUGAGGUAACGGCUCACCAAGGCUAUGACGGGUAGCUGGUCUGAGAGGACGACCAGCCACACUGGAACUGAGACACGGUCCAGACACCUACGGGUGGCAGCAGUCGAGAAUUUUUCACAAUGGGGGAAACCCUGAUGGAGCGACGCCGCGUGGAGGAUGAAGGUCUUCGGAUUGUAAACUCCUGUCAUGCGAGAACAAGAAAGUGAUAGUAUCGCAAGAGGAAGAGACGGCUAACUCUGUGCCAGCAGCCGCGGUAAUACAGAGGUCUCAAGCGUUGUUCGGAUUCAUUGGGCGUAAAGGGUGCGUAGGCGGCGUGGUAAGUUGAGUGUGAAAUCCUAGGGCUUAACCUUAGAACUGCACUCAAUACUGCCAUGCUAGAGGAAUGUAGAGGAGAGUGGAAUUCACGGUGUAGCAGUGAAAUGCGUAGAUAUCGUGAGGAAGACCAGUUGCGAAGGCGACUCUCUGGGCAUUUCCUGACGCUGAGGCACGAAGGCCAGGGGAGCAAACGGGAUUAGAUACCCCGGUAGUCCUGGCAGUAAACGGUGCACGUUUGGUGUGGGCGGGUUCAGACCCCGUCCGUGCCGGAGCUAACGCGUUAAACGUGCCGCCUGGGAAGUACGGUCGCAAGAUUAAAACUCAAAGGAAUUGACGGG
rnacentral:rRNA from 1 species